GAAGAAUCACACUGGUCUCGCUGAGAGGAGAUUUGUGAGCUGCAGGAAGGAUCACCCUGCUGGCUUGCUGUGUCAACAGGCACCUGGCUCUGUGCAGUUUCACUUGGCUGAUGAAAGCAGUGUGACAAAGGUGUUCUCUCUCUGCUGAAGACACUUGGAAACAGGUCAGCCACUGGUUGAAUUACUGAUUUUAUGUGGUGUCAGAAACGAACUUGGUGCCUCUGGGAAGGCAGUUCUGAUCUCUGUACCAUCCCAAGGACACAAACUCAAGGUAGUCUUGGAAUUGGCAGAGGUGACACCACUACAAGCAGCCCUUGCUGGGAGGGAAAAGCUGCUGUGCACAAGGCCCAGGGACCUUCACUGACCCUGAUUCCUUAUGUAAGAGAGGCUCAUUUGAGCACACAUGCUUCCAAAGAUAUCCAGUGAACAAUCUGUGAGCUCCUCACCUCACAGAGAAGGUGGGUGAGGGUGGACAAUGGCACAGCAGGGUUUUAAACAUAACCUGGUG
rnacentral:lncRNA from 1 species